AAAAACAGCAAUAGUUCUAGUAAGCUCGUACACAUAACUAGUUCACUAGAUCGAAAAUCCGAACAGAAAAACAGCAAACAAAAGUACUCUGUAGAUAAUUUUUGAAAAUUUGUUCAAUUAAAUAAUAAAAAAUCAGCAGAUUUAAAGCAGAAGAAAGAGAAAUAGAUAGUUAAUAGGAGAGAGAAAAACUCAGAUGAAUAUUGGGGAAGAUGAAUUCGACAUUAGAAGAAGAACAACGGGAGAUCCAAGUGCGGGGAGGAGAGAGAAAGAUGAGAUGAAGAUUUGGGAAUACUGAGGAGAGCCGUGUAUUUUUUUUUACCCUAAACUCGACCCUUGUAUUUUCAUUUAGUGUUAUUGGGCUUUUAAAAAUACCCUAUAAAAACCCUAUAAACAAAUACCCUAUAAGGGCCCUGCCAAUAUAAAGGUAAAGGGUCAAGACCCUUUUAAAAUUGGCCUGACCCUUAUGCCCAUUGGGCUACCCUGUCCAAUAACGAGGUCUAUCACGCACAAAACUCACGAUUCACACAAGAAAGAAAGGCGAGACAGAAGGGCGAGACGGAAGAGGAACGAAAUCAGAGGAUUGAAGCUGCUAUAGUUGGAGUUUGCUAUGAAAUCUACGGAAUUGAAGGUUUAAUCAUCCGAAUUGGGAGGAAAUAAAGGGAAGAAGCCGAAUUUGGUUGACGUAUUCUACUCCACUCGAAAGAAAGGAACUCAGCUUCCAAAUGCAGAGACAAUGCAAAAAUAUGAAGAACUUCGGGAAACAAUGGCAAAGGAUCCAUCACUUUCUCAAGUCGAGGUAGUACAACAGGUUUUUAAAUCAAAAUCUCGAGAUCAUAUCGGGUUGUAGGUUUUGGAGGAGGAAAAAGCUUAAGAUGUAAGGGGACCACAACCCAGUAUAGUAGAACUUCAAAAUAAAUUGAAUGCUGCCAACAAACAGAAUGAAGUUCUUGCAAAUCGCAUGGAGGAAGUACAAGCCGAGAACAAUGAAAUGAAGGAACGAGUUAGCUUGGUUGAGUCUAAAAUGAAAAUGUUUCAAGAUGCAUUGGUCUUGCAACUUGAUUUUACUAUUCCGACUUCACAAGCUGGAUCAGAAAUGCAAAAAUAGGUCGAACCUGCUACACAUCAGUUUUAGAUAUUUGGUGCAAAUUUUCUUAUUUUUUGUUUAAGAACAAGGAAUUAUUGAGAUUUAACUCUUAGUAUAGACCAAGUUAUUUGAUCUUA